rnacentral:rRNA from 1 species
CAUGCAAGUCGAACGAUGAUCCCAGCUUGCUGGGGGAUUAGUGGCGAACGGGUGAGUAACACGUGAGUAACCUGCCCUUAACUCUGGGAUAAGCCUGGGAAACUGGGUCUAAUACCGGAUAUGACUCCUCAUCGCAUGGUGGGGGGUGGAAAGCUUUAUUGUGGUUUUGGAUGGACUCGCGGCCUAUCAGCUUGUUGGUGAGGUAAUGGCUCACCAAGGCGACGACGGGUAGCCGGCCUGAGAGGGUGACCGGCCACACUGGGACUGAGACACGGCCCAGACUCCUACGGGAGGCAGCAGUGGGGAAUAUUGCACAAUGGGCGAAAGCCUGAUGCAGCGACGCCGCGUGAGGGAUGACGGCCUUCGGGUUGUAAACCUCUUUCAGUAGGGAAGAAGCGAAAGUGACGGUACCUGCAGAAGAAGCGCCGGCUAACUACGUGCCAGCAGCCGCGGUAAUACGUAGGGCGCAAGCGUUAUCCGGAAUUAUUGGGCGUAAAGAGCUCGUAGGCGGUUUGUCGCGUCUGCCGUGAAAGUCCGGGGCUCAACUCCGGAUCUGCGGUGGGUACGGGCAGACUAGAGUGAUGUAGGGGAGACUGGAAUUCCUGGUGUAGCGGUGAAAUGCGCAGAUAUCAGGAGGAACACCGAUGGCGAAGGCAGGUCUCUGGGCAUUAACUGACGCUGAGGAGCGAAAGCAUGGGGAGCGAACAGGAUUAGAUACCCUGGUAGUCCAUGCCGUAAACGUUGGGCACUAGGUGUGGGGGACAUUCCACGUUUUCCGCGCCGUAGCUAACGCAUUAAGUGCCCCGCCUGGGGAGUACGGCCGCAAGGCUAAAACUCAAAGGAAUUGACGGGGGCCCGCACAAGCGGCGGAGCAUGCGGAUUAAUUCGAUGCAACGCGAAGAACCUUACCAAGGCUUGACAUGAACCGGAAAUACCUGGAAACAGGUGCCCCGCUUGCGUCGGGUUUACAGGUGG